GCCCAGGUGGCUCAAUCGGUUGAGCAUCUGACUUUGGCUCAGGUCAAGAUCUCGCGGCCUGUGGGUUCGAGCCCCGCCUCGGGCU
rfam:Felis catus isolate Cinnamon breed Abyssinian chromosome A2, whole genome shotgun sequence.